CCUACCCCUAGAGGCACUGCGGGUGUAGCUGCUCUGUCACGUGUGCUUUAGGUGGCAGAGAGAAGAGAAGCUAUGUCUAGCCUCAGGCUUCUGACCUAUGAACAUCUGAAUGAAUGAUUAGUAGCCUAAUAAU